AACGAACGCUGGCGGCAUGCCUAACACAUGCGAGUCGAACGAAGGCUUCGGCCUUAGUGGCGCACGGGUGCGUUACGCGUGGGAAUCUGCCCUUAGGUACGGAAUAACUCAGGGAAACUUGAGCUAAUACCGUAUCAUGACUUCGGUUCAAAGAUUUAUCGCCUAAGGAUGAGCCCGCGUCGGGUUAGCUAGUUGGUGAGGUAAAAGCUCACCAAGGCGAGGUUCCGUAGCUGGUCUGAGAGGAUGAUCAGCCACACUGGGACUGAGACACGGCCCAUACUCUUACGGGAGGCAGCGGUGGGAAACAUUGGACGUUGGUCGAAAGACUGACCCAGCCAUGCCGCGUGAGUGAUGGAGGCCUUUGGGUUGUAAAGUUCUUUCACCGGUGAAGCGAAUGACGGUAUCCGGAGAAGAAGCCCCGGCUAACUUCGUGCCAGCAGCCGCCGUAAAAC
rnacentral:rRNA from 1 species